rnacentral:lncRNA from 1 species
AUUUACCUUCCCUGGGGCUCAUGGAGACCCCUCAGGUGGGCUACCUGGUAAUCAUUCCAAUUUUUCAGCACAUUCAGGUUGAGUAGGGAGGCAGGUUCACCUGGCGAGUUGAUUCCAGGGCACAGGGAUCGGGCAAAAAGUCAAUGGGCAGCAGGUGAGGUUGCGGCUGUGCUCUCCUUCCAGUCGACUCUCUCCUCCGAAGAGAACAGAGCUGCCCCUCGUCUUUCAGCCCAGCUCUCCUGUUUUCUCAGCACCUCAGCGGGACAAGAAAGACAGAGCCUGCCAGAACCAAGGUUCAGAAGACUUAAUUUGAAGCUAGAAGAUUGCUAAUGACUUCUGUUUAUAGAGCACUGCGAACUGAGAUCACUAGGUAUGCAUCAAAACUAAUGAAAAUAAAAUGUUUUGUCACAGAACA